rnacentral:rRNA from 1 species
UACGUAGGGGGCAAGCGUUGUCCGGAAUUAUUGGGCGUAAAGAGCGUGUAGGCGGCCAAACAGGUCCGUUGUGAAAACUGGAAGCUCAACUUCCAGACGUCGACGGAAACCGUGUGGCUAGAGUCCGGAAGAGGAGAGUGGAAUUCCUGGUGUAGCGGUGAAAUGCGCAGAUAUCAGGAAGAACACCCGUGGCGAAGGCGGCUCUCUGGGACGGUACUGACGCUGAGACGCGAAAGCGUGGGGAGCGAACAGG